rnacentral:tRNA from 1 species
GGGCGUGUAGCUCAGUGGUAGAGCACUGCUUUGACGUAGCAGUGGCCGGCGGUUCGAUCCCGCCCGCGCCCA